rnacentral:lncRNA from 1 species
GCAAGCAUACAAGCACGAGGAGUUUGGUACAGGUACGAGUUUGCUCAUCUUCUUCGGUUUCCUCGUUUUCAUUCUCUUUAAGAUACUUCAUUUCUUCUGAAUCAAUGGUUACAAUUAUGUUAUCUUCCUUGUUAAUGACACUUUGGGAAGGAAAUUAUAUUAAUGUUGUUGUUGUUGAUGAAUCCUUGUGAUUGUAUGAUCAAAUAUGGCUAAUCGAAACUUUCGAACCGCCAAAAACCCAACUGGGUUUGUUUGUUUAUAUGUUUAUAUCUGGAAAUAAAGGCCUUAUGGGUAAUUCCUAAUUUCGUCAAAAACCCAACUGGGUCAACUCCUUUCUCAGUUUCAGUCACACUUUUCUUUUUCCUUGUGAAACUUUCUCGUUGCUUUUGUUGUUGUUGUUGGGGGUCUAUAGAAG